CCUUAGGUCCAAGAUGGGCCUCGUGGAACACCGGUGUUUUUAUUUGCAUCAGAUGUGCUGGAAUACAUCGAAAUCUUGGGGUCCAUAUAUCAAGGGUCAAGUCUGUCAACUUGGACCAAUGGACACCAGAGCAAAUACAGUGCAUGCAGGAAAUGGGAAAUACUAAAGCAAGACUACUCUAUGAAGCUAAUCUACCAGAGAACUUCCGAAGACCUCAAACAGAUCAAGCUGUGGAAUUUUUCAUCAGGGAUAAGUACGAAAAGAAGAAGUAUUAUGAUAAAAAUGCAGUUAAUGCCUUCAAU